UUCAUGGGGUUCUGGGCGCUCCCAAAUCCCGGAAGAGCCCCCAAAUGUAAGACCCCCCGAUAUGGGGACUGCCAUUGUAGUCCAGGGAUAGGGCACACCCACGAACACGAAAGAAUCC
rnacentral:pre_miRNA from 7 species